rnacentral:rRNA from 1 species
AGAGUUUGAUCCUGGCUCAGAUUGAACGCUGGCGGCAUGCCUUACACAUGCAAGUCGAACGGCAGCACGGGAGCAAUCCUGGUGGCGAGUGGCGAACGGGUGAGUAAUACAUCGGAACGUGCCCAAUCGUGGGGGAUAACGCAGCGAAAGCUGUGCUAAUACCGCAUAAGAUCUACGGAUGAAAGCAGGGGAUCGCAAGACCUUGCGCGAAUGGAGCGGCCGAUGGCAGAUUAGGUAGUUGGUGAGGUAAAGGCUCACCAAGCCUUCGAUCUGUAGCUGGUCUGAGAGGACGACCAGCCACACUGGGACUGAGACACGGCCCAGACUCCUACGGGAGGCAGCAGUGGGGAAUUUUGGGCAAUGGGCGAAAGCCUGAUCCAGCCAUGCCGCGUGCAGGAUGAAGGCCUUCGGGUUGUAAACUGCUUUUGUACGGAACGAAAAGUCUCUUUCUAAUAAAGAGGGAUCAUGACGGUACCGUAAGAAUAAGCACCGGCUAACUACGUGCCAGCAGCCGCGGUAAUACGUAGGGUGCAAGCGUUAAUCGGAAUUACUGGGCGUAAAGCGUGCGCAGGCGGUUAUGUAAGACAGUUGUGGAAUCCCCGGGCUCAACCUGGGAACUGCAUCUGUGACUGCAUAGCUAGAGUACGGUAGAGGGGGAUGGAAUUCCGCGUGUAGCAGUGAAAUGCGUAGAUAUGCGGAGGAACACCGAUGGCGAAGGCAAUCCCCUGGACCUGUACUGACGCUCAUGCACGAAAGCGUGGGGGAGCAAACAGGAUUAGAUACCCUGAUAGUCCACGCCCUAAACGAUGUCAACUGGUUGUUGGGUCUUCACUGACUC